ACGCUGGCGGCAGGCCUAACACAUGCAAGUCGAGCGGCAGCACGGGUACUUGUACCUGGUGGCGAGCGGCGGACGGGUGAGUAAUGCCUAGGAAUCUGCCUGGUAGUGGGGGAUAACGCUCGGAAACGGACGCUAAUACCGCAUACGUCCUACGGGAGAAAGCAGGGGACCUUCGGGCCUUGCGCUAUCAGAUGAGCCUAGGUCGGAUUAGCUAGUUGGUGAGGUAAUGGCUCACCAAGGCGACGAUCCGUAACUGGUCUGAGAGGAUGAUCAGUCACACUGGAACUGAGACACGGUCCAGACUCCUACGGGAGGCAGCAGUGGGGAAUAUUGGACAAUGGGCGAAAGCCUGAUCCAGCCAUGCCGCGUGUGUGAAGAAGGUCUUCGGAUUGUAAAGCACUUUAAGUUGGGAGGAAGGGCAGUUACCUAAUACGUAUCUGUUUUGACGUUACCGACAGAAUAAGCACCGGCUAACUCUGUGCCAGCAGCCGCGGUAAUACAGAGGGUGCAAGCGUUAAUCGGAAUUACUGGGCGUAAAGCGCGCGUAGGUGGUUUGUUAAGUUGGAUGUGAAAUCCCCGGGCUCAACCUGGGAACUGCAUUCAAAACUGACAAGCUAGAGUAUGGUAGAGGGUGGUGGAAUUUCCUGUGUAGCGGUGAAAUGAGUAGAUAUAGGAAGGAACACCAGUGGCGAAGGCGACCACCUGGACUGAUACUGACACUGAGGUGCGAAAGCGUGGGGAGCAAACAG
rnacentral:rRNA from 1 species